CAAAGGGAUUACCGGUGGCGGAUGGGCAUGCGGCGCAUUAGCUAGUCGGCGGGGUAACGGCCCACCGAGGCGACGAUGCGUAGGGGUUCUGAGAGGAAGGUCCCCCACACUGGCACUGAGACACGGACCAGACUCCUACGGGAGGCAGCAGUGAGGAAUAUUGGUCAAUGGGCGCGAGCCUGAACCAGCCAAGUCGCGUGAGGGAUGACGGUCUACGGAUUGUAAACCUCUUUUGCCGGGGAGCAAGCGUGCGUUCGUGAACGCGCGUCGAGAGUACCCGGAGAAAAAGCAUCGGCUAACUCCGUGCCAGCAGCCGCGGUAAUACGGAGGAUGCGAGCGUUAUCCGGAUUUAUUGGGUUUAAAGGGUGCGUAGGCGGGAUGCCAAGUCAGCGGUAAAAAUGCGGUGCUCAACGCCGUCGAGCCGUUGAAACUGGCGUUCUUGAGUGGGCGAGAAGUAUGCGGAAUGCGUGGUGUAGCGGUGAAAUGCAUAGAUAUCACGCAGAACUCCGAUUGCGAAGGCAGCAUACCGGCGCCCUACUGACGCUGAGGCACGAAAGCGUGGGUAUCGAACAGGAUUAGAUACCCUGGUAGUCCACGCAGUAAACGAUGAAUGCUAACUGUCCGG
rnacentral:rRNA from 1 species